rnacentral:rRNA from 1 species
UACAGAGGGUGCGAGCGUUAAUCGGAUUUACUGGGCGUAAAGCGUGUGUAGGUGGCUUCCUAAGUCGAUUGUGAAAUCCCUGGGCUCAACCUGGGAAUUGCAGUCGAUACUGGGGAGCUCGAGUUCGGUAGAGGACGGCGGAAUUCCCGGUGUAGCGGUGAAAUGCGUAGAUAUCGGGAGGAACAUCGAUGGCGAAAGCAACCGUCUGGGCCUGAACUGA